rnacentral:rRNA from 1 species
AUGUAUGGAUCGCCUCCGCGGCUCUCCGGGAUUCAAUCAGGCUACGUUCCAUUGCUGGUGCGGUGCCCUGCGUCGUUAUCGAGACGGCGGCCGUGGUGCAAUAUACCUCCCCUCCCAUCUAUGUAUGCCCGCCAAGGAUCGGACGAACAGGCCCUCGGUUUACAGCGGCAGCUCGGAGGAGCGUUCGAUCCAGCUCCUCCGGUGGGGGUUGAACGGGGUGCCGCCCCGGUUGAUUCAGAAACAAGCUUCUACGGUAGCUCCUGGCUCCUGCAGCUGGGGAGGAAACCGUCCAGUGACUCCUUUCUGUCCGUGAUGAGCAUGUUGCAUAAAUUGUUUCAUGCGUCAGUGAGAUGCAUAUGCCUGCACGAGUUUGCAUGGCCCUACACAAUCCACCUCUACCAAGAUGGGCAAGGUAACCUCUUAUGUGAAGAGGAGGGAGACUCGGAAGAAGUACAUGGAUGCAACUGCAAAGAUGAAGAAUACUACGAGGACCAUUCGUUCAGGUUUAGCAAAUACAUCUUCGAUGGCUUGAAGGUGAAUAAUGUUGAAGCUCUGGUUGGACCCUACCUCCCACUACCAUACCUACUCCAUAGUUCGAAACCCCAAGCACAUCACGGGAGCGGAAGGGAGGGAGGGAUCAGAAUACCUGCGUUGGGCAUCGGAUGCAGGCCGGAGUGGCACCUACUGCUCGUCGGAAGAGCGUCGGUGGGCUCCAAGCCUCGGAGAGCGCUGGUUGGUCUAAUUGGUUGGCGGCGACACUAUGACAUCGCCGUCCAGCAUUAUCGCCUGAUUGGCUGGUGCCAACUUCGGCAUGCGCAUGACCACCACAAUGGCCUCCUCCAGAACCGGUGGGUUCUGAAGGUGGUACAUAGUCCUUUUUUGGCUCAACUAACCGACAGGUGCAUGCGGUACAAUGGAUCUAGACCAAACAAGGAUAACUUGCCAACUUUUGGUCAUGCCAAAAAAUUGAUUGGAGAGCUUCUCAUCAUCGCCGUUGGCCACAUGCAUCAUCACCGGGAGCUUGAUCAGCGGCAGAGGCUAGAGUUAGGGAUUUGGAGCCGUGAGACCGGCGUCGCCGGAGGCGUCUGCUGCUGCUUAGGAACAGGGUUCCGGUGUGGGGGCACCUGGGUGAUGGUGGCGCCUCUGGCCGCGGGAAGGAUGGAGAGUAGUGGCGCGGCCGCUAGAAACAUUAGUAUUGUUAGAUCUGGCGGAGCGGGAUACAUCAUAACAUAUAUGAAGAUGCUUGAAGACGGAGGUCAUACCCUAAACCCGCUACGGCUGCUGUACCAGAUCAAGAGAGCUAAGGCUACCACCGGUCAGACUGGAAUCACGAUGCCGUUGGCGCCUCCUGCACUGACGACGAUUGGGGAAGCAAAUUCCAAGGCCGGCACAUCCCCUGCUAUGAUGUGGGUAGGGACAAUCUUCAUCGUCUGUCUUUCCAUCGGCGGCACCUCGGCCUUGGCAUACACCCUCUACAGCCACCAUUUCUUCCCUGCUGACCGCUCGUGUUGUCUGCUGACUCUCAUAUUAUGGGGGGUCUACGUGGCAGUGGUCGCAGUGGUAAUGGUGUACAUGACCCUGUUCCUGCCGAACGCCCCUGUUGCCCUGCGGGAAGCACUCGUCGACAUUGGUUGGAUUUAUGUCGGUUCACCUGUCAUGGCGAUAGACAUUCUUCUGAUGUUCUUUGGCCAGCCGUGGAUGGUCAUCUCAAUGUUUUACUGUCUCGGCAUUCUGAUUGCUGGCGUCCUUGCCUUCUGGUGGUGGCUUGCUCUCACGUACAGGAAAUGUGCUUAG